UGGUGAAUCUGAGUGGCGUC
rnacentral:snRNA from 1 species